UGUGUGUGUGCAUACUAUGUAUUCGUGUGUGUGUAUUUAGACGCCAUAUAAAAUACUUUUGCUUCCGCAUUAUAACUAACGAGACAGAGAAACGAUUGAGAAACAUUUGUUGUUCUUUCAUUUCAAAGCAUGACGGGGGAAAUAGUUAAAAGAAAUUCUAUGGCAUAUAAUUUCAUAUAAUUAUCUAUGGAAACUUGGGAAUAAAAAAAUAAUAACAAUAUGGAUAAUAUUAUUGUAUUUGUAGUUAGGAGUUUUACUGCAUUGUUCCUUUCGAAAAAAGAUAGAACUCCUUGGCGUAUAUUUGUGAAAUUCAUGUGCAGACACUGCCCUCUCCCUUGCACUCAGAAACAACAAGGAGUAGCAGCUUUUAUCGCUGCUAUGAUCAACUCUUCUAUGAUCACUCUCUCUCUCUAAUGCGAGUACAGCACUAUAAUAGAAAAGAAUAGGCAAACGAAUAAGGGUCAGCAACGUCACAGAGCAAUCGCAUAGAAGAGAAGAGUUUACACAGCCAGCAGAAGAUCAUACACUGAGCAUAAUCUCGUAGCAUUCCAUAUUAUAAUGAGUACGCAAUUUAUUUACUUUCGAAAUGGAAAUUUCCUAUUUUCUGGGCAUUUUUUGUGAAACUGCUCAGAAACAUCGGCUAGAGCAUCGCAUCUCUAGAAAGUAUUAUUCGUACACAUUCCGAGAAAUUUAUAUGCCCGCUGACAGUUUUAUGUAAGCAAAACAACAACAUCAAAUGAAUAAUAUGCAUCAUAAGUAUCAUAAGCCUGAAGACAACACAUUUUUAUCGCUCUGUUGUGGUCCGUGGGGCGGCGUAAGUCAAUCGGUUAACCAUAACCAUCUGGUAUAGAUAUGAAUAUUCCCCGAGUAUUUUGCGAUAUGUUAGUUGAAAUUUUUCCACAAGACCCCCACACCACCAACCCAUUCAAUGAAUUUCAAUCAAAACAUGAUGGAAGAAAAAUUCCACAAAUAAAUUUAAUUGGAAUGGAAAAUACUUUGACAAGUUUGAAAAGUUCUCCAGUGUUUUGGGCGGGUGGAUCAACGCGAGUGAUGAGCUUUUGUUGUUGUUUAUUUUUGCCAAAAAUA